rnacentral:rRNA from 1 species
GACGAACGCUGGCGGCGUGCUUAACACAUGCAAGUCGAACGGAAAGGCCCUGCUUUUGUGGGGUGCUCGAGUGGCGAACGGGUGAGUAACACGUGAGUAACCUGCCCUUGACUUUGGGAUAACUUCAGGAAACUGGGGCUAAUACCGGAUAGGAGCUCCUGCUGCAUGGUGGGGGUUGGAAAGUUUCGGCGGUUGGGGAUGGACUCGCGGCUUAUCAGCUUGUUGGUGGGGUAGUGGCUUACCAAGGCUUUGACGGGUAGCCGGCCUGUGAGGGUGACCGGCCGCAUUGGGACUGAGAUACGGCCCAGACUCCUACGGGAGGCAGCAGUGGGGAAUAUUGCACAAUGGGCGGAAGCCUGAUGCAGCAACGCCGCGUGCGGGAUGACGGCCUUCGGGGUGUAAACCGCUUUCGCCUGUGACGAAGCGUGAGUGACGGUAAUGGGUAAAGAAGCACCGGCUAACUACGUG